rnacentral:rRNA from 1 species
GAUGAACGCUAGCGGCAGGCCUAAUACAUGCAAGUCGAACGGUAAGCACCUGCUUGCAGGUGACACGAGUGGCGCACGGGUGCGUAACGCGUAUGCAACCUACCUUCAUCUGGAGAAUAGCCCCGAGAAAUCGGGAUUAAUACUCCAUAAUAAUAUUAAAACGACAUCGUUUCUUAUUUAAAGCUCCGGCGGUUGAAGAUGGGCAUGCGUGACAUUAGAUAGUUGGUGAGGUAACGGCUCACCAAGUCAACGGAUGUCUAGGGGUUCUGAGAGGAGUUUUCCCCACACUGGUACUGAGACACGGACCAGACUCCUACGGGAGGCAGCAGUAAGGAAUAUUGGGCAAUGGACGAAAGUCUGACCCAGCCAUGCCGCGUGCAGGAUGACAGCCCUAUGGGUCGUAAACUGCUUUUAUAAGAGGAGAACCCCCCGGACGUGUCCGGGGCUGACGGUAUCUUAUGAAUAAGCACCGGCUAACUCCGUG